GAUUAACGCUGGCGGCGUGCCUAAUACAUGCAAGUCGAACGAAGCUGUUUUAACUGGUGCUUGCACCGACUUAAACAACUGAGUGGCGAACGGGCGAGUAACACGUGGGUAACCUGCCCCAAAGCGGGGGAUAACAUUUGGAAACAGAUGCUAAUACCGCAUAACCACAGAAACCACAUGGUUUCUGUGUCAAAGAUGGUUUCGGCUAUCACUUUGGGAUGGACCCGCGGCGUAUUAGCUAGUUGGUAAGGUAAUGGCUUACCAAGGCAAUGAUACGUAGCCGAACUGAGAGGUUGAUCGGCCACAUUGGGACUGAGACACGGCCCAAACUCCUACGGGAGGCAGCAGUAGGGAAUCUUCCACAAUGGACGAAAGUCUGAUGGAGCAACGCCGCGUGAGUGAAGAAGGUUUUCGGAUCGUAAAACUCUGUUGUCAGAGAAGAACGUGUGCGAGAGUAACUGUUCGUGCAGUGACGGUAUCUGGCCAGAAAGCCACGGCUAACUUCGUGCCAGCCGCCGCAGUAA
rnacentral:rRNA from 1 species